rnacentral:lncRNA from 1 species
UAUCUAUUUGCAGUCUUGCAACAUGGUAUUGGGCGGAAGGAGGGCGGUUUGCACCCCUUUUAUGAAGACAAUUUAUACACCACUGUAACAUGGUAUUGGGCGGAAGGGGGGCGGCUUACACCCCCUUCCAUGAAGUCAAUUUAUACACCACUAGUUACUAUUUUUACAAGUA